rnacentral:rRNA from 1 species
ACGUGAACCGUUUAGGGGUAAACCUGAGAAACCCGAAAGGUCGAAGGGAGAAAUUCAUUCGCGUUUCAUCGCANGCGCGCGGCGAUCGCGUGACGGGGGCGUUCGCGCUUUCCGCACCUUUCGUCGUGUUCGAUCCGGCGGCGAACGCGUGCACUUUUCUCCUGGUAGGACGUCGCGAUCCGUUGGGUGUCGGUCUAAGGUGGACGGAGGAGCCCGUGAGCGCGGCCACGUGUCGCCGUUCGCGGACCCGUUCUUUCCCGGCCGACUCGCUCGACGGUAUACGAAAGGUUUAAGGCCGCUCUCUCUUUUUGAGCGUUCGACCCGCGACAAGCGCGCCAGCAGCCGUUGGCUAUCGGACCUAGCGCCGGUACCGACCUCUGGUGACUGUUGGUCGUGGUGUUCUCGAACCGACCUUUUUUAAACCGAUCUGCGACGCUAUAGCUUUGGGUACUUUCAGGACCCGUCUUGAA